GACAAACGCUGGCGGCGUGCAUAAAACAUGCAAGUCGAACGGACUUCAGUCCGCAAGGACUGAAGUGAGUGGCGAACGGCUGAGUAACACGUAGGUGACCUGCCCCGAAGUGGGGGAUAACGACUCGAAAGAGUCGCUAAUACCGCAUGUGACCACCGAUCCAUUUCGGUGCUCAAAGUCGCAAGACGCUUUGGGAGGGGCCUGCGGCGGAUUAGCUAGUUGGUGUGGUAACGGCACACCAAGGCUUCGAUCCGUAGCUGGUCUGAGAGGAUGGCCAGCCAGACUGGGACUGAGACACGGCCCAGACUCCUACGGGAGGCAGCAGUUAGGAAUUUUGCGCAAUGGAGGAAACUCUGACGCAGCCACGCCGCGUGAGGGAUGAAGGCCUUCGGGUCGUAAACCUCUUUUCUCAGGGAAGACACCCGACGGUACCUGAGGAAUAAGCAACGGCUAACUACGUGC
rnacentral:rRNA from 1 species